rnacentral:rRNA from 1 species
CCUACGGGAGGCAGCAGUGAGGAAUAUUGGGCAAUGGACGCGAGCCUGACCCAGCCAAGUAGCGUGAAGGAUGACUGCCCUACGGGUUGUAAACUUCUUUUAUAAGGGAAUAAAGUGAGGCACGUGUGCCUUUUUGUGUGUACUUUAUGAAUAAGGAUCGGCUAACUCCGUGCCAGCAGCCGCAGUAAUACGGAGGAUCCGAGAGUUGUCCGGAUUUAUUGGGUUUAAAGGGAGCGUAGAUGGGUUGUUAAGUCAGUUGUGAAAGUUUGCGGCUCAACCGUAAAAUUGCAAUUGAUACUGGCAGUUUUGAGUACAGUUGAGGUAGGCGGAAUUCGUGGUGUAGCGGUGAAAUGCUUAGAUAUCACGAAGAACUCAGAUUGCGAAGGCAGCUUACUAAACUGCCACUGACAUUGAUGCUCGAAAGUGUGGGUAUCAAACAGAUUAGAUACCCCAGUAGUC